CGCAAGCCUGAACGAGCAACGCCGCGUGGAGGAUGACGGCCUUCGGGUUGUAAACUCCUUUUUCGGGGGACGAUAAUGACGGUACCCGGGAAUAAGGCUCGGCUAACUCUGUGCCAGCAGCCGCGGUAAUACAGAGGAGCCAAGCGUUGUCCGGAUUGACUGGGCGUAAAGCGCACGCAGGCGGUUGCGCGCGUGGGGUGUGAAAUCUGGCCGCUUAACGGCCAGGCGCCAUCCCAUACGGCGCGACUGGAGGGCUGCAGAGGUCGAUGGAAUUGCCGGUGUAGUGGUGAAAUGCGUAGAGAUCGGCAGGAACACCCAGGGGGAAACCAGUCGACUGGGCAGCACCUGACGCUGAGGUGCGAGAGCGUGGGGAGCGAACCGGAUUAGAUACCCGGGUAGUCCACGCCGUAAACGAUGGCCACUCGGCCUUUGGAGGCGGAAUCUCCGUCUUUGGGGGCCUUAGCUAACGCGGGAAGUGGCCCGCCUGGGAACUACGAGCGCAAGCUUA
rnacentral:rRNA from 1 species